AGAGUUUGAUCAUGGCUCAGAUUGAACGCUGGCGGCAUGCUUUACACAUGCAAGUCGAACGGUAACAGGUCUUCGGAUGCUGACGAGUGGCGAACGGGUGAGUAAUACAUCGGAACGUGCCUAGUAGUGGGGGAUAACUACUCGAAAGAGUAGCUAAUACCGCAUGAGAUCUACGGAUGAAAGCAGGGGACCUUCGGGCCUUGUGCUACUAGAGCGGCUGAUGGCAGAUUAGGUAGUUGGUGGGGUAAAGGCUUACCAAGCCUGCGAUCUGUAGCUGGUCUGAGAGGACGACCAGCCACACUGGGACUGAGACACGGCCCAGACUCCUACGGGAGGCAGCAGUGGGGAAUUUUGGACAAUGGGCGAAAGCCUGAUCCAGCAAUGCCGCGUGCAGGAUGAAGGCCCUCGGGUUGUAAACUGCUUUUGUACGGAACGAAAAGCCUGGGGCUAAUAUCCCCGGGUCAUGACGGUACCGUAAGAAUAAGCACCGGCUAACUACGUGCCAGCAGCCGCGGUAAUACGUAGGGUGCAAGCGUUAAUCGGAAUUACUGGGCGUAAAGCGUGCGCAGGCGGUUUUGUAAGACAGUGGUGAAAUCCCCGGGCUCAACCUGGGAACUGCCAUUGUGACUGCAAGGCUAGAGUGCGGCAGAGGGGGAUGGAAUUCCGCGUGUAGCAGUGAAAUGCGUAGAUAUGCGGAGGAACACCGAUGGCGAAGGCAAUCCCCUGGGCCUGCACUGACGCUCAUGCACGAAAGCGUGGGGAGCAAACAGGAUUAGAUACCCUGGUAGUCCACGCCCUAAACGAUGUCAACUGGUUGUUGGGUCUUAACUGACUCAGUAACGAAGCUAACGCGUGAAGUUGACCGCCUGGGGAGUACGGCCGCAAGGUUGAAACUCAAAUGAAUUGACGG
rnacentral:rRNA from 1 species